CCCUCUCCAUCUGAAAGGAAGCAGAGGGAGGACAUUAAGAUUAAGUGGAGACAUUGUGAAAAAAACAACACGUAAUGGGAAAAAUCAGGGGCUGGAAAUACAGACUUGAGGGAGGAGAUCCCCCUUCAGGUUGAAUUGCGUACAACAUAAAACAAAUCAAUUUUGGAACAACACUGCCCUCUGCCAGAAUACAGAGAAAAGAGGAAAAAAUGGAUAUACAGCUCCCUGUCAAAUUACAGAUUUAAGUGAUAUGAUGACUAUUGAUUUCCUUGAGUUGGGCUAAGGCUGUACUGUUCUAUCUGAAUAAAAACGAGUUAGGUGAAAAUUAUCAAUACCGGAAACAGUAAGUGCAACAAGAAGAACCAUAUGAUACUGAAAAGAAACAAAUGCAUGAAAAACUGUAGAAAAAUUGGCCAAAAAAAGCACCUAAGGGUGCUACAGCACUUACUAACAUGAGAAUAUGACCAGAAGAGAGGAUAGAGCUUUCCUUGUGCUAGUGUAUGUGCUAGACAUGCACAUAAGAUAUUCAUUAGCUUAUAUUUAUUUAAAAGGCUUUCAUUCUGAAUAAAUAGGUGUAUGAAACCAAACAGGUCAGUGAUUAGCAGUGGAUAAGGUUAUAUCAUGAAUAAGUUGCCUAAGUGAACUUGCUGCAAGCUAAUUAUGAACACAUGGGAAGUUUCCAUGGAUUAGUUGAUUGAUCUAAUUCCUGAAUUUGGUUUUCUUUGCAUAAGUCUGCAACUUUUUGAGAGGAAUUCUCUCCCUCUUCCUCCAGAUCAGCAAAGGCAGUGUCUUGCAAACUCUACAAGGUCAUAUAUAUGCUUCUCCUGGGAGAAAUACAUACAGGAACUUGAAUCAGACCCAGUGCUCUCAAAGAUCCUUAAGUUGCAGAUUUGACUCCUUUUCUUCUGCAAGCCGUCUCUCGUAUUUAAUUUUGAUAUCCUGGAUUUCUCGGUCUUCAUCUUCCUCAAUCUGUUUCUUAAUUUCUUCGUGUGCUUGAAGCUGCUGCCUCAUAUCCUCCUCUGCCUGCAGUUAGGAAAAGCAAACGUUAGAGAAGGUAACAAUAGAUGGCCAAUAAGGAAGAGGAGAAUUCUUUAUCUGUAAUGUAUUUCUCCUGGGAGGGCUUGUACUUAGUGGACUCUUCAGCGUCAAUUGCAGCAAUAGCAUUUAAGCUAACAAGUUCUAAGGGGAUUAAAGUCACUUUAAAAACUGUUAAGAUAAACACCAAAAAAUCUUCUUAAGGCUUAGAUGCUUAACGUUGUCUACAAAAUAAAUCAAAAAUGUCUAUGUCUGAAAACCUAGCCAAACUUGCAAACUUGUUCUCACAACAGCAAAUGCAAGCCUAAGUAACUCUUGAUAAGACCUUUCUAAAUUGCUGUUCCUGCUGCAUUAAGGACAAUAAACACUCAGCUUUGCAUCAGUCUCUGUAUUACUUUCUUCUCACCUUCUUUCCAGACACUCUUUCCAAGUUGGUGUUGCAACACAGGGAUGCAAGUAGUAACACUUAAGGGAUUUAUUGGCAUUAUUAUAUCAGCAUCAGUCAUCUGACUGCCCUAUUUGGCUGAAUCUUUGACCUCCAGGUGCUGGAGUUUCACUUAAGUACUCCGGGUAUUACUUUUUCCUGCUCAAACUAUGAAAGCAGGAGCCUCGGGGACUUGGUGACAUUGGUGAUUUCAGUAAGCAGGAGAAUCCACCAGUUUAGAAAUGUUAUCUCUUCACUAGAACAAGGUGAUUUAAUCUUUAUCCAACAGCAGUAACUUCUAACCCACAUUAAUAAGAAGGAAUUCCUGGAUGUAGGAAACAGAAGCAAAGCUGAGAAUAUCCAAGGACAUUCUUCUCAGCAGAUUACUGAAUGUAUGAAGUCCAAAAAAGCUGGUAAUUCAGUUAGGGCUUUCCUCGUUACU